rnacentral:rRNA from 1 species
AUGAGAGUUUGAUCCUGGCUCAGGACGAACGCUGGCGGCGUGCCUAAUACAUGCAAGUCGAACGCUUCUUUUUCCACCGGAAAAAGAAGAGUGGCGAACGGGUGAGUAACACGUGGGUAACCUGCCCAUCAGAAGGGGAUAACACUUGGAAACAGGUGCUAAUACCGUAUAACAAUCAAAACCGCAUGGUUUUGAUUUGAAAGGCGCUUUCGGGUGUCGCUGAUGGAUGGACCCGCGGUGCAUUAGCUAGUUGGUGAGGUAACGGCUCACCAAGGCCACGAUGCAUAGCCGACCUGAGAGGGUGA